CAGCCGCCGCGGGAAUACGUAGGGGGCGAGCGUUGUCCGAAGUUACUGGGCGUAAAGCGCGCGUAGGCGGUUUUUUAAGUCUGGGGUGAAAGGUUCACGGCUCAACCGGAACAGUGCCUUGGAUACUGGGAGACUUGAAUCUGGCAGAGGAUAGUGGAAUUCCUGGUGUAGCGGUGAAAUGCGUAGAUAUCAGGAGGAACACCGAUGGCGAAGGCAGCUAUCUGGGCUAAGAUUGACGCUGAGGUGCGAAAGCGUGGGGAGCGAACGGGAUUAGAUACCCCAGUAGUCCCUGUCUCUUAUA
rnacentral:rRNA from 1 species